AUUAGGGUUAGGGUUUAGUUUUAUGUUAGGAUAGUUUUUUCUACGUUAUAUGACGUCAAUGCAACAGCCAGUUUAUGCACCUCGGUCAGCGUCAGCAACGCCACAAGGAUCCCAACAGGUCCCAUUACCUACCGCUGUCGAUCCUCCAGUAGGAACAUUUGUUAGUCUUUUGCAGUGUUGUCCUCCUUUAGUUCGCACCUGUUUUGGGUGUUCCCAAUCGUUAAAACUCGGCGGGAUUAUCGCAAGUCCACCGUAUGAUUUGACGAUUAUUACACGUAUGAAUAGAGGUUUUCCUAACCCUAAUACUCCUGAUGGACAGUUGAUGUUCAAAGAACAAAAUGUAUAUUUCCAUGUAUAAAUUUGAGUUGCCUCAAGAUGAAGCAGCCAUAUUUUAACCCUGCCUGCGUAACUGUACCAAAUUGGCUGCCAUAUUAUUUAACACCAGAACAUUUGCGCUUUUGACGAGAGUGCUCAAAUUUGACGUGGCAUGAUGUCGAUAUUGUUUUGUUUUUUAGUUUGUUCAGUUAGUUUGUUCAAUUCUACACGGCCAAAAACGCUGAGCCUGCUGUACUGCCUGUACUGUACUGUACUGUCUGUACAACAGGUUGCAAUAAUAUUAUGCUGACCUGUUUUUUACAGUUAACAACAUUGAACAAUAUUAUUCAUCUUGAAUGGGGUGCAACAAUGCUGAACAAUAUUGUUAACAUUCGUGAACAAUAGGCGUAGCACAUUAUUGUUGCAACCUGAUUUAUCAACAUUGCAACUACAAGUUCAUGAUUUUUACGCAUGUAGGCAGGAGAAGAAAAAUAUUUUUUUCCGAUUUAGACAGGUGUCCUGACAAUUCCCGGGAAAUUCCUGUGACACCGGUUUUACACCCAAAAUACCAGCCAUAUGGCAGUGUGAAGAUAGUAUGCUAUCACAAAAAGUUGAGUUCGAAGUUAUAUGGAGAAAAUUGUAGAUUACAUUAUUAAUAAAAGAUAAACUGUCAGAUUAUAUUCGUUCUUCGAAAAUUUGUGAUUGUCAUUUUACCGGGAACUUCUUUCUUAUAUUUAUUCAGUUUUAUAGGCAAAUUACAUGUGUUCGCAAUGGUCUAGCAAACAACUAAUUCGAUUAAAUUUGCCCAUUUCAGAGUUUUACCCCCAUUUCAGCGUUCUACCCCCAUUUCAGCGCUUUAUCCCCAUUUCAGCGUUUUACCCCCAUUUCAGCGUUUUACCCCCAUUUCAGCGCAUUUAAUUUCAGCGUUUUACCCCCAUUUCAGCGUUUUACCCCCAUUUCAGCGUUUUACCCCCGCUUUCAGUUUCCGUUUCCGCGAUUCAGUUUCAGCGUUUUAUCCCUACCCGGAAAAUACCGCACUCGUAUUUAAAUUAUUCUGCAUGUCAUAUCUCUAGUCUAUGCAUAUUUAUAAUUGCAUGUUUUUACUGUAUGUAUCGAGUUCAGUAUAAAUAACGUGUUUAUUUUUUUGCAUAAUAAAUUUUUAAAAUUGAACGGAAACAAACGCAUAG